GCAGAGGUGGCGGAGUGGUCAAUCGCAUCGGUCUGUAAAACCGACUCCUUCGGGAUACACUGGUUCAAAUCCAGUCCUCUGCACCA
rnacentral:tRNA from 1 species